CAGACGAGGCAUGACAGCACAUGUGUGGCUGGGCCAGCUGGGACAGCAUCACUCUACUGUGCAAACCUCCAGGGGACCAGGAGUGGGGCUCCGAGGAGGAAGGCAGAGAAAAAGAUGAAACCUCAGUUGGUUUGGAAACAGAGAUGGCUGCCAAACUCAUACCAGAAGCUGGGAGGAGUUUCUACUAAUGAUCACGGCAGAGGACAAUGUUGGAGAGAAACUUGUGACUCAGGGACCAGGGAUGAAGGUAGAAACAUUGAAUUGCCAGUAUGAGAGUCUCCAACUCUUCUUCCCUUGCCUCAGCAAGCAUGAGACCACCUGCUACGCAGAAGGACCAUGCCGACCACAUCACAGCUGUCUGCCUGGAGCCACAGGCGACUUGGUAUGAGCAGGAAAUAAACUUCUCUCAAG
rnacentral:lncRNA from 1 species